rnacentral:rRNA from 1 species
UACGUAGGGGGGCAAGCGUUGUCCGGAUUCAUUGGGCGUAAAGAGCGUGUAGGCGGCCAGGUAGGUCGGUUGUGAAAACUGGAGGCUCAACCUUCAGACGUCGACCGAAACCAUCUGGCUAGAGUCCGGGAGAGGAGAGUGGAAUUCCUGGUGUAGCGGUGAAAUGCGCAGAUAUCAGGAAGAACACCCGUGGCGAAAGCGGCUCUCUGGAACGGUACUGACGCUGAGGUGCGAAAGCGUGGGGAGCAAACAGG